AUAUUUGUAGAUUGGUUAGCGCGUCCGACUGUUAUGAAAUCGGGAGGUUGACAGUUCAAUCCUGUCCGGGGAAG